GCCGUCGUGGCGCAAUGGUAGCGCAUCACCUUCCUACAUGUAUGGAAUGUUAUUCCCGGAGGCAGGUGGGGGUUGCGGGUUCGACCCCCGUCGACGGUA